GGACUGAAACAGAGAGACGUUUUCAUGUCGAUCCCGAGACCGGACUGGACCGGACCGGACCGGAGGCUCAGAGCUGAGUGGGAUCAGAACCGCUUUGUUUUGAUGACUUCAGACGUUCCUUCAGGUGGACACACACCUGUGUGGGAGCGGCUGCUGCCUGGACUGGAUCCUUCCUCCUGAUGAGGAUCAGCCAGCAGGUCUGGAGGAAACCAAACGCAGCAGGAAUCAGAGCUGCUCCCGGUUCAUCACGUUUUCAGGUCUGGAUGUUUUUCAUGGCGACCGUCUCCAUGGAGCCAACAGCUGCAGAUUAUAAUCCUGCAGAGAUUUAAAGGCGGAUUAGCGGCGUUCUGAUCCGCCGAUUGCAUCAUGACUCUUCGUCCUGCUGUUCUCCUGAACAACCGGACCCGGACCUCGGCUGACUGGUUUCACACCAGCUCUGGGCUGAACUGGGACGACGUCUGAGUCGACCUGACUGGCUUCCAUCGUUUACCCAGAUGAACUUUGAUGUUUUUCCAACUUUCCAAACGGUUUUAAGCUGAUCUGAGAAAAUGAAAAAUAAAAUGUUAUGAAUAAAGUUACGUCACAGCUGACCCUGAUCCUC